rnacentral:rRNA from 1 species
GAGAGAUGUGGCUUUCCUUCGGGACAGAGGAGACAGGUGGUGCAUGGUUGUCGUCAGCUCGUGUCGUGAGAUGUUGGGUUAAGUCCCGCAACGAGCGCAACCCUUGAUCUUAGUUGCCAGCAAUUCGGUUGGGCACUCUAAGGUGACUGCCGGUGACAAACCGGAGGAAGGUGGGGAUGACGUCAAAUCAUCAUGCCCCUUAUGACCUGGGCUACACACGUACUACAAUGGCCAGUACAACGGGAAGCGAACUCGCGAGAGGGAGCCAAUCCUAUCAAAGCUGGUCUCAGUUCGGAUUGCAGGCUGCAACUCGCCUGCAUGAAGUCGGAAUUGCUAGUAAUCGCGGAUCAGCAUGCCGCGGUGAAUACGUUCCCGGG